ACCGAUGAGAAAAUAAUAUUAGAUCCAUUAGAAUGUCUCAUUUUCUUCAGGUUGUUCAUGUUUCUGGGUGGGAUGCUAAUUUUAUCUUCAGUUACUAAAGAAAGUAAUGCUGCUGCGAUAGCUGCAAGGUACCAGAUAAGCAGAAAUUAGGAGGAUAAUUAAAAGAAGAGUCGCUACGUUCCUCCAAAGAAUUUCUAAUACAUACUUAUUUUGGUCAAAGCUUGCAGCAUGACAGCCAUUUCAUCAUCACAGCGGCAAUCUGUGUUUUUAGGCAAAGCAGUGGAAGGAUAUUUUUGACUCUUCAUUUUGAAGGAUUUGAUAGCAAGGUGUCAUUCACAAAUAUGACACUUCUGCACAGAAGCACAUCCCCCACAACUGUUAAAUGAUCAAAUCAGACCAAUAAUGGAGAACUGAAAACUAUGACUUUGCUCUUUGCCUCUGGCUACCCCUCAGUUUUCAGGUUGAGUGUGGACUGGAGAGAAGGUUUCAGCAUCAGCCAUUACUCUGAAAUAAGCUGGGCAAGUAUCCUGCAUGAAACCCACAUCCAAUUCAUCCUUUGAGGCAGUCUGAUUAUUGUUUCAAUUUCUGAGUGUAAUUACUUGAUCCUCUUUGUUGCUUUAGUAUGUUGUAUACCUCAUGUAUUUUCUCUAUUGAGAUUACUAUGCACUUAAAUCAAAUUCAGAAGACUUUUCAGAUAUUUCUGGAAAAUUUCCUGCAGAUUCAUUCUCAGCUGCGAGUACAGCCUCUUUUAUAAAGUGUUCAUCACAACUAGUUUUGUUGUUUCUUCUGUAGCCACUAAGUGAAUGAAAAAUGUCUGGAACUUUAGCAGGUCUACCAUGUUUGCCAGCUUCAGUGUAGUCCUUACCUCUGUUUUAGCAGAAGGGUUUACCAGUUACAGCACUGGCUACAGAUAUGGACUUGGGAUCUGAUUUGGAAAGAGUGAGGCUCCAUGUUUUGAAGAAAGAAAACUGGGACAGCCAGAGUUGCUGAAGUACAUUGUGGAGCCUGGUGGUACAAGUGAUGAGACCUCAGCCUUAUACACUUGAAGAUCAUGUUCUACCCACAUCUCCAAAUUUCUGUGCUGUGAUUCACUUUGCAUGCAUCAUUCAGGACCUACCUUUCCUGUUCUGUUUGGAAGAAUGUGGUCAUUACUGCUAAUUUUCUUCCAGUCUCCCAUCUAACAAUGGGGUAUCACUGUUGGUCUGCCUACUUGCUGUGCACUCCGUAUCACAGAUAUGUGAUAUAGCAAAACUCAGGGGUCUGGGCAUAGUUUCACAGUUCAGAACCAGAAUUUGCCCUUGGCACAAAAUACUCAGGAGAAAAAUGUCAUCAGAACUAUCUCAGUAAUUUCUGAAAUCAAUAACCUCAAGCCUCAAAGAGCCUUGUUCUCAGGACUUUUUUUCCCCUCAAUAUGCCCUUUUUAUAAACUUCUAGCCUGCUUUAAAUUUAUUCUAAAUUCUCUGGAUUAGGUUUGAUGUUGUUGCAAGAUCUGAUUUAGGCUUAAGAGUGUUUCCAUUGGUUUUGUUUUCUGUUUCUUUAGAUCCUCCAUUUGAUUUUAUGGUGUACCUAAAUGUUUUUAAUGUUUUGCUAUUUAUUUAGCAAGAGCUCUCCUAGUCAGAAAGCUAAUUUAAAUGGAAAUAUUCAAGAUAGAUGGGAAGCAGUGUGAAAGGAAGUAUGAAAAGAAAGGCCAUCACUUUAAAAAUAUGUAAUAACGAAAUGAUUCCAGCUCACCCUACUUUCUCCCAACUGUUUUCCCUGCUAUGAGAGGUGUUUAGCCUCCUACCCAAUAUUAAUCUUGUUAUCUCUGAAACAGCUUGCAGAAAUUAACUGCUUAAAAAAUGAAAUGAAAUGAAAUGUUGUGAGCCAACCCUCCACCCUCACUGUGACUACAAACCAGAAACCAAUAAACCUGGCAGCUGUCUUCCAUUGUUCAAGUGCCAACAAGAAGGCUACUAAAAAAAGAAAAAACAAAUUUUAUGUCUUUUUAAAAAGUUUGUAAUUACUUACUGCUGAAACUUUUUUUAAGGAACUAUCAUAACAAUAUGUUCCUCUCUUUCUUCCCAUGUGUUUACAAAAACCUAACUAAAAAUAUUACUAAGUAAUGUACACUUUACACUCAACUGUAGUUCUUGUACAGCUCUGCAGUUCAAGUUUCCUGCUGAACUCACAAUUUUAUGAUUAUUUCAAGCCUCAAUAUGUUAAUAUGGGAGUUCGGCUAAAGCUGCCAUUAGAUGAUCCCUAACCUGUGAUGCCUGCUUUUGGAACACGUGCUGCUGAUAGGAGGUAGAAGAGCUGCCUGUCAAAGGCUAGGCCAUGCAUGCUUCAGCUCCACAAACAGUUCUGUAACUGCAGAGUCCAUUUCUGCAUCACUAUUAUGCCGAUGUAAGCUUCCUACACCAAGAGUUGAGCGUGGCCUAAUUUAAUUUUAACAGUUUUAAUGUUUCCUGUAAGGUAAAUAGUGAACCAACACUGUGAAAGAACUGCCUUUCUAUUGAAUCACAUACAUUCUCACCUUGGCGGUGGACUAAAUCUGGUGCAGAAACUGCUGUAAGCAAACAGAGUAGCGCUACAUGUGAGCACACCAAGCUGAGCCUUCUCCAGAACAACCACCUCCAGCCAGCUCCUGGUUUCUCCAAGGACUGCUCCAUCUUAUCACACAUCUCCCCAUUGUCUUCUCCAGCAAGCGGCAAUAUUACAGAAACUGGACUGUGAAGAGAAUGUUACCUUAAAAAAUCUUAGAAAAAUUGAUAUUCUGCAAUGCACUGACAAGACCCUAAUAAUUAUCCUAAGAAGAGUAAUUCCAUGUCUCAUCUCAAAGUUCAGUGCAUUCCCAUGUGAACGUAAAUUAUAAACGUAUGCUUCUAGGAAGAGGGGCCACCUUGAAAUUCUGUAAGUAACAUCAAAUCACAUGCAAAAUAUGUAUCCCUUUACAAAUUUUGCCAGGACUGACUUUUAUAUGUUACUUAUUUAUCGCAAAUAUAGAUAAAUGUGGCAAAAAUGGCUUCAAAUUUUCUUAAUGGACCCUACUCAUAGUCUGUAAUAAUCUAUAAAUAUUCCUGUGGUAGUCAGAGGACACAGAAAAAUAUUGAUGUUUCCUUUUUUUAUACAUUAUUAAAUGCAUAUGUAUGUAAUGUUUAACAUACAUGUAUAUUCACUUACCUAAUAUUUUCUGCAAGGAUUAGAGAUCACUUAAUACAGUCUGUUUUAAAACCAGGACUUUUCACCAGCCAAUUGAAUAUUUUGCAUGAAACAUUACUUGUAUAUAAAUCAGUAUUGAAUGUAAAAUUUAUUAAAUAUUGUGUGUCACAUGAUGCAGUUUUUCUUCUUUUAGCAGUAGUUUC